UACGGAGGGUGCAAGCGUUAUCCGGAAUCACUGGGUUUAAAGGGUGCGUAGGCGGCUGUAUAAGUCAGAGGUGAAAGCCCGGAGCUUAACUUCGGAACUGCCUUUGAUACUGUAUAGCUUGAAAUAGGUUGAGGUAAGCGGAAUGUGGCAUGUAGCGGUGAAAUGCAUAGAUAUGCCAUAGAAAACCAAUUGCGAAGGCAGCUGGCUGGACCUUAUUUGACGCUGAUGCACGAAAGCGUGGGGAGCGAACAGG
rnacentral:rRNA from 1 species